ACAUUAGAAAAGACCCCCCAAACGCCUUGCAUUGCACAGCUAGUUAUCUGCAGUACUCUAGCCAGGCGGUCACCUCUGCUUUCAUUUCCCCUUCUGCAAUCCAAUUUUUAGAUAUCCAUGAGUGAUACGUUUCAGUCUGCUUCUCUGUUGACCUACAAGUCUCAAAAAAAAAAAUGUGAAAGAUUCCAAGUAAAGAACCUGUGGAUUCUUUAUACAAAUGCCACUACAUACUAACUAUAGCAUUCAUCUCUGUAGCACCUGAUUGCCAAGGGCGAAUAAGGAAUGCAGGUUUAUUUGAAGUCUAUCUUACUUAGCUUCAUUGAAACAAUGUUAUGAACAGGGCUUGUACUGGUACCUGUUUUCUGAGUAUUAUCUUACUCGUUCAAUUAAAGUAGGAGCUGGCUUUAAAAUGGGACUGAAAAGCCAGACCAAGCAUUUCUCCAUGGCUAUGUUCUCCGUUUUCAGUACUGAUAGCAGUGUUCAAUGGUAAUAAUAUUCAUGUAUGCAUUUAAAGUGUAAUCCUGUUAGCAGCUUUGAAACCAUUCUAAUUAACCACCUUGUCAUAAAAUAGUAAUUUCAAUCUAUUGUUACUUCCGAUGCUUUCCACAUUUUCAGAGGUGGAUCGUUUCAACAGACAUUACAGAUUAGAUCCUCAUCUGGUGCAAUCUGGUGUGGCUCCAAAUGAGCUAGGCUAGUUUACACCAGCUGAGGAUCUGUUGUAUGUCUUGUGUUGAACUUGAUAGCUACAGAUGCUUGGAACCAGGUUGUCAGCUGAUGAGUAUUGGCUUAGAUGCCAAGAAGUCUAUGGAGCUACAAGGAUUCUGACCCACUGAGAAUCUAGCCCCUCUUUCUCUUUCAGAGGGUUUCCUGUAAAGACUGAACAAAUGUGGUCAAAUAGUAGUUCAAGGGAAGAACAGUCUUCCAAUUUCAGGUGUUCUUUUUUUGCAGAAAUUAUAAGGCCAAGCUUACUAAAAUCAGUAUUAAGGAUGUAUUUAGUCCCUAACCUGGGCUGAUGCCUUUUGAGGGUUAGCACAAAAUAAAGUUUGUUUAUGAAGUUUGAGAAGUUUGCAUGUUAAGCAGACUGAAACAAACCAACCCUGAUACUCCAUUAACAUGCAAA